rnacentral:rRNA from 1 species
AUUGAACGCUGGCGGCAUGCCUUACACAUGCAAGUCGAACGGCAGCACGGGAGCAAUCCUGGUGGCGAGUGGCGAACGGGUGAGUAAUAUAUCGGAACGUGCCCAGUCGUGGGGAUAACGUAGCGAAAGCUACGCUAAUACCGCAUACGAUCUAUGGAUGAAAGCGGGGGAUCGCAAGACCUCGCGCGAUUGGAGCGGCCGAUAUCAGAUUAGGUAGUUGGUGAGGUAAAGGCUCGCCAAGCCGACGAUCUGUAGCUGGUCUGAGAGGACGACCAGCCACACUGGGACUGAGACACGGCCCAGACUCCUACGGGAGGCAGCAGUGGGGAAUUUUUGGACAAUGGGCGCAAGCCUGAUCCAGCAAUGCCGCGUGCAGGAUGAAGGG